GUGCAGUGAAGGAGAUGAACAUGAGACUAAGUCCCCCACAGGGCUGGUAGCUGGUGACAGCAGGUGAGCCUGUGGAUGAGCUCACCAUGAACUGGUGCCUGGCUGCCACAAUGGACUGGACAAAUUGUUCAGACGAGACUGAGAUUCUAUUGGUGGGUGAUUCUUCUGACUGGAUGGAGGGACUCCAACCUGUCCUGGGAGAGCCACAUCCCUCUUGAAGGAGCAGCAAUUACGAAUGUCAUCAUUAGAAUAUUAAUUUGACAAACAAAACAGCUAGCUUUGCCCUAAGCAGAUGCUGGGAAUCUGCUCUCCUGGGACACGUAAAGUUGAUGUACCCUGCAACUCAGUGAUUGAAAUGAAAGAGCUGCCUACCCUUGAGUUACACUCCGGGAAUGCAUGGUCUACCCAAGAGGCAUUUGCAUUCAUUUCCUGAUGGGAUAUGCCCCUUCAAGGAAGAAGGAGCAUGUUUCUCACCAGGGUUCUUCCUUCCUGAAGCAAACAUGAAGGACAUCUCC